rnacentral:rRNA from 1 species
ACUUGGAAACAGGUGCUAAUACCGCAUAACAGUUUAUGCCGCAUGGCAUAAGAGUGAAAGGCGCUUUCGGGUGUCGCUGAUGGAUGGACCCGCGGUGCAUUAGCUAGUUGGUGAGGUAACGGCUCACCAAGGCCACGAUGCAUAGCCGACCUGAGAGGGUGAUCGGCCACACUGGGACUGAGACACGGCCCAGACUCCUACGGGAGGCAGCAGUAGGGAAUCUUCGGCAAUGGACGAAAGUCUGACCGAGCAACGCCGCGUGAGUGAAGAAGGUUUUCGGAUCGUAAAACUCUGUUGUUAGAGAAGAACAAGGACGUUAGUAACUGAACGUCCCCUGACGGUAUCUAACCAGAAAGCCACGGCUAACUACGUGCCAGCAGCCGCGGUAAUACGUAGGUGGCAAGCGUUGUCCGGAUUUAUUGGGCGUAAAGCGAGCGCAGGCGGUUUCUUAAGUCUGAUGUGAAAGCCCCCGGCUCAACCGGGGAGGGUCAUUGGAAACUGGGAGACUUGAGUGCAGAAGAGGAGAGUGGAAUUCCAUGUGUAGCGGUGAAAUGCGUAGAUAUAUGGAGGAACACCAGUGGCGAAGGCGGCUCUCUGGUCUGUAACUGACGCUGAGGCUCGAAAGCGUGGGGAGCAAACAGGAUUAGAUACCCUGGUAGUCCACGCCGUAAACGAUGAGUGCUAAGUGUUGGAGGGUUUCCGCCCUUCAGUGCUGCAGCAAACGCAUUAAGCACUCCGCCUGGGGAGUACGACCGCAAGGUUGAAACUCAAAGGAAUUGACGGGGGCCCGCACAAGCGGUGGAGCAUGUGGUUUAAUUCGCAGCAACGCGAAGAACCUUACCAGGUCUUGACAUCCUUUGACCACUCUAGAGAUAGAGCUUUCCCUUCGGGGACAAAGUGACAGGUGGUGCAUGGUUGUCGUCAGCUCGUGUCGUGAGAUGUUGGGUUAAGUCCCGCAACGAGCGCAACCCUUAUUGUUAGUUGCCAUCAUUUAGUUGGGCACUCUAGCGAGACUGCCGGUGACAAACCGGAGGAAGGUGGGGAUGACGUCAAAUCAUCAUGCCCCUUAUGACCUGGGCUACACACGUGCUACAAUGGGAAGUACAACGAGU